rnacentral:rRNA from 1 species
GACGAACGCUGGCGGCGUGCUUAACACAUGCAAGUCGAACGGAAAGGCCCUGCUUGCAGGGUACUCGAGUGGCGAACGGGUGAGUAACACGUGGGUGAUCUGCCCUGCACUUCGGGAUAAGCCUGGGAAACUGGGUCUAAUACCGGAUAGGAGCCAUUUUUAGUGUGAUGGUUGGAAAGUUUUUUCGGUGUAGGAUGAGCUCGCGGCCUAUCAGCUUGUUGGUGGGGUAAUGGCCUACCAAGGCGGCGACGGGUAGCCGGCCUGAGAGGGUGGACGGCCACAUUGGGACUGAGAUACGGCCCAGACUCCUACGGGAGGAAGCAGUGGGGAAUAUUGAACAAGGGGCGCCAGCCUGAUGAAGAGACGCCGCGUGGGGGAUGACGGCCUUCGGGUUGUAAACUCCUUUCGCUAGGGACGAAGCUUUUUGUGACGGUACCUAGAUAAGAAGCACCGGCUAACUACGUG